GGAGAAAUGAAGUCUUCCUAACUCUGGCCUCCUGCUGCUACACAAGCCAGGCCAAUGAUGUGGCAAGUCCAAGGGGCACAUGGCUUUUCAGUGUCAUUGUUUGAGGAGGCCAUGAGUGGUUUAGCUGGUGGCCUCUGCUUCUUUUUCUUUUGAGUGCUUCUGAAUACAUGACUGUGCUCUGAAUACAGAGCUACCACUGCGGGGUAAACCAAGCCACAGCUGUCCUCUUCCAAGGUUAGGGUCGCUGCUCAGCAGGAGCUGAUGUGCUACAAGGAAUGAUGAUCUUCUACUGGACAACAGAACCAGGCCUCCUGACUGCCCCUCCCUGCGCUCCG
rnacentral:lncRNA from 1 species